rnacentral:rRNA from 1 species
UGCAUGAAGUCGGAAUUGCUAGUAAUCGCAGAUCAGCAUGCUGCGGUGAAUACGUUCCCGGGCCUUGUACACACCGCCCGUCACACCAUGGGAGUCGGUAACACCCGAAGCCUGUAGUCUAACCGUGAGGAGGACGCAGUCGAAGGUGGGAUUGAUGACUGGGGGUGAAGUCGUAACAAGGUAGC